rnacentral:rRNA from 1 species
UACGGAGGGUGCAAACGUUGCUCGGAAUCAUUGGGCGUAAAGCGCACGUAGGCGGCCUGUUAAGUCGGGUGUGAAAGCCCUGGGCUCAACCCAGGAAGUGCACUCGAAACUGGCGGGCUUGAAUAUGGAAGAGGGUCGCGGAAUUCCCGGUGUAGAGGUGAAAUUCGUAGAUAUCGGGAGGAACACCAGUGGCGAAGGCGGCGACCUGGGCCAAUAUUGACGCUGAGGCGCGAAAGCCAGGGGAGCAAACGGG